GACGUAGGGUGCGAGCGUUGUCCGGAUUUAUUGGGCGUAAAGAGCUCGUAGGCGGCUUGUCGCGUCGACUGUGAAAACCCGCAGCUCAACUGCGGGCCUGCAGUCGAUACGGGCAGGCUAGAGUUCGGUAGGGGAGACUGGAAUUCCUGGUGUAGCGGUGAAAUGCGCAGAUAUCAGGAGGAACACCGGUGGCGAAGGCGGGUCUCUGGGCAAUAACUGACGCUGAGGAGCGAAAGCGUGGGGAGCGAACAGG
rnacentral:rRNA from 1 species